rnacentral:rRNA from 1 species
UACGUAGGGGGCAAGCGUUGUCCGGAAUCAUUGGGCGUAAAGCGCGUGUAGGCGGCCCGGUAAGUCCGCUGUGAAAGUCGGGGGCUCAACCCUCGGAUGCCGGUGGAUACUGUCGGGCUAGAGUGCGGGAGAGGCGAGUGGAAUUCCUGGUGUAGCGGUGAAAUGCGCAGAUAUCUGGAGGAACACCGGUGGCGAAGGCGGCAUCCUGGACCGGCAUUGACGCUGAGGCGCGAAAGCCAGGGGAGCAAACGGG